CUCCAUCACCGGGGUGCCAGGAGGCAGGGGCGGCCCUCGGGCUGUGGGUAUGGGGGCAGCAGACUUUCUGCAUGGAGAAACCUCGUCCCGAGAGGACGGGGGCUGGCUGCUGCUGCUGGCUUUCUUCUGCCCUGGUUCCAGCUGGCAUAGAAGGGUUAUGGUCUGACACCAAGACCCAGGCAGUUUUUAUAGAAAAAAUACUGGAAGUUUCAUGGAAAAGAGCAUCCCCGCUGCGGUGGUCUGGAGAAAAACCUCGCGGAAGCCUCCCGCUGCGCUUGCGGGGAGCACCAGCCCCCGGCAUUUUGAAGGAAGGAGAAGCUGGUUACAUUUCCACCGGGCAUAUUUAUUUUUAUUUUUUAAAUAACUGUAAAAUGAGUCACCUGGCUCCGCCGCAGAGCGCAGCCCACCAGCAAGGAGCGAGCCGAGGAGCUGCCAGCGCCUUUGCUGCCAAGAAACCACUCGCGCCUGCAGCAGCCUCUCGUCCCAAGGAGCCAGCCGGAGGGGACGCCGCGGCCACGCUGCCGGGCACCAUCCCCAUCCCCGCUUGCGGGGGACAAUCCAGGGCUCUCGUGCUCCUACAAAAAAAAAAAAAA